rnacentral:piRNA from 1 species
UGCCCAGAGACACCGCAGAACAUCAGC